rnacentral:rRNA from 1 species
CCAAGGAAGGCAGCAGGCGCGCAAAUUACCCACUCCCGGCACGGGGAGGUAGUGACGAAAAAUAACAAUACGGGACUCUUUUGAGACCCCGUAAUUGGAAUGAGUACACUCCAAACCCUUUAACGAUGAACUAUUGGAGGUAAAGUCUGGUGCCAGCAUCCGCGGUAACUCCAGCUCCAAUAGCGUAUAUUAAAGUUGUUGCGGUUAAAAAGCUCGUAGUUGGAUCUUGGGUCGUUGCCUCUCGGUCCGGUUCACUCCGGCAACUGGCGGGCAGCGAUCAUUACGGCAGGCCAGCGUCCAUGAUCUUGACCGGUUGUGGACGUCGGCCGGCACGUUUACUUUGAAAAAAUUAGAGUGCUCAAAGCAGGCGCGACGCCUGGAUAAUGGUGCAUGGAAUAAUGGAAUAGGACCUCGGUUCUAUUUUGUUGGUUUUCGGAACACGAGGUAAUGAUUAAGAGGGACAGACGGGGGCAUUCGUAUUGCGACGCUAGAGGUGAAAUUCUUGGACCGCCGCACGACGAACUACUGCGAAAGCAUUUGCCAAGAAUGUUUCCAUUAAUCAAGAACGAAAGUCAGAGGUUCGAAGGCGAUCAGAUACCGCCCUAGUUCUGACCAUAAACGAUGCCAGCCAGCGAUCCGGCUGCGUUACUAUCAUGACGCGCCGGGCAGCUUCCGGGAAACCAAAGCUUUUGGGUUCCGGGGGGAGUAUGGUUGCAAAGCUGAAACUUAAAGGAAUUGACGGAAGCGCACACAAGAAAUGGGGCCUGCGGCUUAAUUUGACUCAACACGGUGCAACUCACCCGGCCCGGACACAGGAAGGAUUGACAGAU